rnacentral:rRNA from 1 species
GACAGAGGUGCCAAGCGUUAGGCGGAAUCACUGGGCUUAAAGCGUGUGUAGGCGGAUUUUUAAGUACCUUGUGAAAUCCCACAGCUCAACUGUGGAACUGCUCGGUAUACUGGAAAUCUUGAGCCACUUAGGGGCUGUCGGAACAAGCGGUGGAGCGGUGAAAUGCGUAGAUAUCAUUCGGAACGCCAAUGGUGAAAACAGGUCGCUGGGAGUGUGCUGACGCUGAGACACGAAAGCCAGGGGAGCGAACGGG